rnacentral:rRNA from 1 species
GAUGAACGCUGGCGGCGUGCCUAAUACAUGCAAGUCGAGCGAACAGACGAGGAGCUUGCUCCUCUGACGUUAGCGGCGGACGGGUGAGUAACACGUGGAUAACCUACCUAUAAGACUGGGAUAACUUCGGGAAACCGGAGCUAAUACCGGAUAAUAUAUUGAACCGCAUGGUUCAAUAGUGAAAGACGGUUUUGCUGUCACUUAUAGAUGGAUCCGCGCCGCAUUAGCUAGUUGGUAAGGUAACGGCUUACCAAGGCAACGAUGCGUAGCCGACCUGAGAGGGUGAUCGGCCACACUGGAACUGAGACGCGGUCCAGACUCCUACGGGAGGCAGCAGUAGGGAAUCUUCCGCAAUGGGCGAAAGCUUGACGGAGCAACGCCACGUGAGUGAUGAAGGUCUUCGGAUCGUAAAACUCUGUUAUUAGGGAAGAACAACUGUGUAAGUAACUAUGCACGUCUUGACGGUACCUAGUCAGAAAGCAACGGCUAACUACGUG